AAUCCGUGAAGGGGACAUUUGUGUAAAUGCUCCUUGUAUCGCUCCCAAGCCUUGUAUAUGGAUUCAUCAUCUGCCUACCGAAAAGAAGUUAUAUCAUUACACAAUUU